AGGACGAACGCUGGCGGCGCGCUUAACACAUGCAAGUCGAGCGAGGCCCUUCCUUCGGGAAGGUGUCCUAGCGGCGAACGGGUGAGUAACACGUGGGCAACCUGCCCAUAGCUCUGGGAUAAGCGCUGGAAACGGCGUCUAAUACCGGAUAUGACACGGGACGGCAUCAUCUCCGUGUGGAAAGAAUUUCGGCUAUGGAUGGGGCCCGCGGCCUAUCAGCUUGUUGGUGAGGUAAUGGCUCACCAAGGCUACGACGGGUAACCGGCCUGAGAGGGCGACCGGUCACACUGGGACUGAGACACGGCCCAGACUCCUACGGGAGGCAGCAGUGGGGAAUAUUGCACAAUGGGCGAAAGCCUGAUGCAGCGACGCCGCGUGAGGGAUGAAUGCCUUCGGGUUGUAAACCUCUUUCAGUAGGGACGAAGCGAAAGUGACGGUACCUGCAGAAGAGCGCCGGCCAACUCGUGCCAGCAGCGCGGU
rnacentral:rRNA from 1 species